UAUACACAGAAGGAUCUCCCCCAUCAGGAUCCCAUUCCUUUAAUCCCAGCACUAGAGAGGAAUAUAAGGCAGGAGGAGACAGGAGCUCAGUCUGAGGAGCAGUGCAGUCUGAAGAUGCAGUCUGAGGACAUGAUCUCCCUUUCAGUUUGAGCAUUGGCAGAGACCCCUUCCAGGAGAGAAUUUCAUGCUUUGCUCCCAUGAGUCAUAGGAAAUGAGCGAGAGAAGAUUGCUCAAGCAUAAGGGAUAAAUGGAUCUGAAUUUCUGCCAUCAAGACUGUCCUUACAUCAUGGAGAUCUCUGUGAUUCUUGAAAUCUCCUUUGGAUCUGACUUAAGAGAAGAUAACUAAAGAGUUGUAUCUGGAACAAGCUUUCGAGCUUCCAGCAAGGCAGCAUCAAUGUGGAUAAUUCUGGACUUUUCAGUGACAUUUUAUCUUUCAUUGAAUCUUCAUCUCUGUGAUCUGCAAUGGUAGUCAUUAAAUAAUAUGAUGGAAAAACAGAUGCAGCUGGAUAUGAGGUCAAAGAGGGAUGGGUCUUGACAGAUUGGAACUAACCUCAGAAAGAGAAGAAAAUUGAUUUUGGAUUGUGUCAAGUGAACUUGGAAAUAGAAGGUGCAGUUUCCACCCCCUGGGUAUAUUAAUCUUCAUAUAUCAUUAAAUCCCUUGAGAAAAAUGGCCAUUGCUACAGAAAUGCUUGUCUCAUCAGAUUUAGCUAAUGUGAUGUUUACUGCAGAGUUUUAUUUUUCUGGGUCAACGUGGUAUAUGAAUCUAUCAUCUACCUAUGUAUCAUCUGCCUAUCUACUUUUCUAUCUAUUAUUUUUAGUAUGUAUAUUUAAGGUAUUUUUUAGUUAAAAAAUUGCACUCAAGUUACAAAGCAUCCAGAGCAAGGUGAGUGUUGUUCCAGGUUGAUUGCUGCAGGAAUGCAGACACAGGACUGGCUAUUGUGAGAUUAAUGAAAAAAAAAACACCCACUGUUGCCCACCUGACUUGACAAUUAUUCUUCCAUAAUGGAGAGAAGCAGAAGUAAAAAAGCAGCAAAGAAUACUCAAAGGAACUCAUUGGAAAUGAUGAAGUAGAGGAACUCUUAAAUGGAAUCAUAAAGGUUAGAUCUGCAAAAAAAGAAUCUCUGUUGCCAUUUAGUCCUGCCUUUAAUUUUCCUUAGAAUUACAAAUCUCAAUAAAAUGUCAUUUACUGCAGGAUCUGUGUAGAACUCCUGUCUAAAAGACUUUAAUUGGUUAGUCCAGAAUGGGCUAAAAAAUAAGAAAAGAACCUGACUUUUUCCUCAUGUUUUUGAGGCACGUCCAUCAGCUUUUAGCUUGCAUUAUUACACUUUUUCAAACAAAUUGUAAAGGACCUACAAAUCUAACCUACAUACUGUCCCUUACUGUGUCUUCUGAGGUGGAGUCAGAGAAGUUCCCAGUUGAGUUUGGUCUUCGAUUUUCUCAACUGCACUUUAGUCUUCACUUGGUUUCCAAGGCAUGACAUUCUCAGAGUCUGGAAGACCUACUCUGAAUGUGGGUCACAUUGUUCAACAGUCUGGGGGCCUGGUGGAACAACAACAAUGACAAUAGCAACAGCAACGACAACAAUGACAAUGACAAUAAUGACAACAAUGAUGAUGAGGACGACAACAACAAUAGCAAUGACAACAGCAACAGCAUCAACAACGAUGACGAUAUCAGUAGUAACAAUAACAAUAACAAAGAUCAUGCCCUGGAAAGUUUUAUUUUACUCUAGUGCCACACUUAAUGUAAGGUGGUGUCAUUUGUCCCCAUGUCUUACUUCUUAGACCUCUUUUCUAUGUACACUUGGUUUCUUGAUGUUUCUUUCCCUUUUCAUGUCAUUAUAUAGAUGUAUUUACUUAUAUUUUCAAAUAGAUGUAAAUAACUCUCCUCCCCUUAAAUUUUGGAACUGUAGCCGGUGGUGGCACACACCUUUAAUCCCAGCACUCGGGAGGCAGAGGCAGGCGGAUCUCUGUGAGUUUGAGACCAGCCUGUUCUACAAGAGCUAGUUCCAGGACAGCCUCCAAAGCCACAGAGAAACCCUGUCUUGAAAAACCAAAAAAAAUUUUUUUGGAACUGUAUACUUAAUUUCCUAUAAGCUAUUUCCAUUUAAGUGUAAAAGAAGCGUGUCAUUAUUUGCUUGAUAAAAACUUAUCUUUUGAUUUUAUUCUACAAUUUUCUCUUAGCAUUCUUUUCUUUAGGGAUUAACACAAUUGCAUAGUUGCUGAACCAGAAUACCCUAGAUUCACCUUUACUCAUCUUUUAAUCUUUGUGAUGUUUAAUUUUAUGCAUCUGGGACAUAAGGAAAGUCCAUAAUAAUGUUUCCAGAUGUUAUCGCAUUCAGUGCAUUCAGCUUUGUAGACAAAGAUAAGCAGGUUGUGCUUCCCAGUAUGGGGGGGGGCACACUCCAGCGUCCUGAGCAUAAUAUUCUCAAUACUCUCAGUUCUCUGUCUCUGUCUUUCUCUCUCACUUAUCUCUUUCUGUCUCUUUGAUUGUUUGAGCUGAAGCAUUAGUUUUCUUCUGCCCUUUCCUUAUCCUUGGAUUUAUAACAUUAGCUCUUGUAGUUCUUAGGUCUUCAGACUCAAGACUGGCUUUCCUGGGCAUGAUAAUCUUGGUUGUCAACUGUAAUGGACUGGAGAGACCUAGAAAAUUAGUAAAGCACACUUCUGGGUGUAUCUGUUAGGAUUUUUUUUUAAAAUUAUUUAUUAUGUAUACAGUGUUCUUCCUGCAUGUAAGCCUGCAAGUCAGAAGAGGGCACCAGAUCUCAUUACAAAUGAUUAUGAGCCACCAUGUGGUUGCUGGGAAUUGAAUCAGGUCCUCUGGAAGAGCGUAAGUGCUCUUAACCAUUGAGCCAUCUCUCCAGCCCCUGUUAGGAAGUUUCUACAGAUGAUUGGCAUGCUGGCCAGUGAACAGAGUCAGGUAGAAUUACCUUGAAUGGAAAUGCUGAAAGCCUGGUGGAACAAAAAAAAAAAAAAAAAAAAAAAAAAGACAAGAGGGAACCUGUGCAAGCCUUAAUUUUCUCUACUGGUGCAAUUUCUUCUGCUGCCAUCACCUGCGGACACCAGACUACAGUUUCUCCAGCCUUUGAGCAUGACAUGGUCUUUCAUGGAUGACCAGAUGCUGCCAGGCUUCCUGCCUCACACUGGGAUUGUAUCGUUAGGUCAUUUUGCUCGAGCCUCUAGGACAGAGAAACUACUGGUUUUGCUGCCCCUCCAGCUUGAAGGUGAUGAUCAUGGUGGGGCUAUCGAGGCCAUGAUAUGUCAGCUGAUCUAAUAAGUUCCCUCUUACUAUAUUUAUUCUGUUCCUCUAGAGAACCCUGACUAAUGCACUGGAUCCCCAGCUUGUGGACCCCAGAGUGUAUGUAGGACAAUAAUUUAGCAACUCAUUAUUAUCCACAGCUCCUUACUCGUUUCUCUUGAGAAUACACUGAUAUAUUUUCUAAAUGCACAUCAACAAAUUCUGUAAAGCCUGCCUCCAGCAAAUGCCUCCUAAAUGAUCACUUCUUAGCUUCUGCUACAAAGUGUGGUUCAUGCCUGGACUGUUAGUACUGAGGGCUUUAUGACACCAAAUCCUUAUAAUCUGUAUUGUCUUCAUCUAUUUUGGCUAUUUUACUCUCUAUUCUAAAUAUGGUACCAAGAUUCAAUUUUUAAAAGUAUAAACUGAUAUUGUGUUAUUUCCUAGCACAAAAAUCUCUAGUAGCUUUUAUCACACUUGGUAAAAGUUUAGCACUUCCAUUAUGGCAUGGAAAACCAGGUAUGAAGUGACGGUUGCUCACUCCUUUCAUCCUAGUUUCCUACACCUGCCUUUCUCCAGGUAUAUCAGGCCUGUCUCCAUUGUGGUUCUUCUCCUACUAAUGCCUGAGACCCAUGACUUCUCAUUUACAUGCUGCACAACACGCCUGUCCCAUUGAAGACCUUCCAGAAAUCCUCCCCUGUCCCAUAGGCCAGCUAACAUUUAUUUAUGUAUGCCUCUUCCAGAAAGUUUAUCUUUGGAAGUCAGGACAUUCUGCUUGCCAUUUUGUUGCUCUCAAUUGCACUAAGAUCAACCCUGCAAGGAUGCAGUAGAAUUUGUUGAAUGAGUAUCAUUGAUGAUGCAUGUUUGCAAUCUCUCCUAAUGACAUUGAAUGUGAAAAUUGAAAGGAUGAGAAGGAAAAAUAAAACAAAAAUUAGGAAAUGCUUUUAAAGCUGAUGGGCAGAGAUCUUUUAAGUUGGAAGCAGAAUACUUAAUUUACAUGGCUCAGGCCAUAAACUCAAAGGCCUUCAGCAUUAGUAGGAUUUUGGAAAAAGUGAGGCCAAAGUGUGAUAGUUGGAGGUAAAUCCUUUGGAAGAUGGAGUUCUAUAUCUUGACCUGAUAAUUAAGUCCAUUAACAAUCACCACCACAAAAGUCACAAACAAUACUCUGGCAGAAAACCAUUUCUAUAUCCAGAGCCUAAUCCUGCCUGGUGAUAGUUUCUAACUGCUGAGAGCAUCCCAAUUCUAUGGGGAUUCAGUGCGUUCUUUCUAAUUAUUUGUUACAACUGUAAACAUGUUUAGUUUAAGACAGAAAAUAUGCUGGAUGAGAAAGGAGUUUGGUCCAUGGGGUUCUGAAAGAUUCUCUUCCAUUGAUCCAUCUGUAACUCAAUCAAGUAAUUAGUUGUUGCAGUCUUCAAUUCAUUCAGUCUUGGUUGAAUAUAAAAACGUCACACUACUGGGGUAAUAGAUGAAGGUAUGAGAUGCCUCAUAAUGUUAAACAUAGUUGACAUGAUAUGAUAAAGUAUUUACAGUUCUUUGGAAAAAAAGUCCCUUUGUACAUUCAAUUGUUUCUUCUCCUUUGUUCUGACUAAAGAAAAACAGACAUAGCAUUAACCAAAUCUGCCACUUUAAUCUAUGUCCUUCCCAUAACAAAUGCAUAAUGAGUAUAUUGAUAAAUUACUAUGCAAGUUGAGAAGCUGCAUGCUGGCUUGCUGCAAGAUUCAAUUAAGACAGAGCAACACUAUUUUGAAUAAUCAAAUGCUGUUUUGAAUAAGUAAUUCAAAUAAGCAAAUGCAAUUAAUAAGAAAUUAUGGUGAUGGAGUUGAGUGGGGGAAAUUCUUAUAUAUAUAUCUUUACAUAUAUAUUUAUUAUUAUUGAGUGCAUUUGGAAGUGUGGCAUGGUGAAUGCAUAUGGAGGUUCGAGAACACCUUUGGUAAAGUUAGUUCUCUCCAACUUCUUGUGAGCCUUGGAGAUCAAAUUCAAGUCAUCAGGCUUGUUCUACAAAACAUUUUUACUCACUGGUCCUCUUACAUAUAUUUUAAGCAUCAUUUAGAAUUGAUGAAACAGUUUGUUGGGAUAUAAAUAUGUAAGCUGGAAUUAGCAAUGAUUUCUGAAUACCAUAAAGACGUCCUUUUAGUUCUCAACGAUAGCAUAGCAUUCUUCAGUGAUACAGAUACAACAAAAUUAAAUAUUAUGGGUUAGCAAGAUAGCUCAGUGGGUAAAGGCACUUGGUGACAAGUCUGAUUACCUGAGCUUCAUCUUCAGGACAGUAUGGGAAAGAGAGAACUGACUUUCUCCAGCUGUGUUCACAUGCUUUCUUCCUAAUAAAUAAAUGUAAUAAUUUUAAAAAUUAUGCUUUUAUAGUACCAUGCUUACUACAAAAGACUGUCCUUGCUCAGCAGACAUGUCUAGAGCUUUUAUACUGUGCAGUUUUACACUAUACCAUGUUAAACUAUUAGAUAAAACACAAGCUAGGCUAGGAAGCUGUGGCCAGGAGAGCAAGGUUUGUAGUAUAAAUGUGUCUCCUGGGAGUCUUGGGUAGGGGUUUCUCUUGGAGCAGGGUAUGGGUGAGGAGGAAAAGGAGACAGACAAGAAAAAGAUGCUAAGGUAGAAUAUUUCCCAGUGGGAUAUGCUUGGGUUGGGAAGCUACUGUAAGUGUCUUGUCUAUGAUGGCUUUUUCUCAAAAUCAGUUUAAUAAUAAGCUAAUUUAUUUAAUAGUUUACUUUAAUAAUAACAACAACUCUUGAUAGAAUGUGAAGAUAUUCUUGAAAGAUCCACUAGUCAGUCUCCUCACCAUACUUUUAUUAGAGUAUACUUAUUAAAAAACUUUCACAUACUGGGUCUGGUGAGAUGGCCCAGCAGUUAAGAGCACUGGUUGCUCUUGCAGAGAAAAGGGUUCAGUUCCCAGUACCCACAUGGCAGCUUACAACCUCCUGUCACUCCAGGUUCAGGGAGUCAGGUGACCUCUUCUGGACUCUGUAGGCACCAGGCAUGGGCAUACAUACACACAGAUAAAAUAAAAUCUAAAAAUAAAGUAUAAAAUAAAAUCUAAAGAUCUGAAAAAAUCCUUA
ensembl:lncRNA